CAUCGAUGCAAUAAACAUGAAUUUGAAUAAACUGCAAGAGACAGUGGAGGAACGGGGGAGAGGGGGAAAGAAGCUGGCAUGCUAUAGUCCAUAGUGUUGCCAAGAGGUAGACAUGACUAAGUGACUGAACAACAACAAUAUUGGUUUAUAGCAUUAUGUGCUUUAUGAAAGAAUGGGUCUCCUGCACCAAGUAGCAAAAGCAUACUUUUCCAACUUUGGGUUAUCAUGGGACAACUUCUCUCAUCCUUUUUCAAGUUCAGCAGUGAUACACCAUUAAAGCAAAGAGGGGGAGAAAGGAAAGUAAAAUGACUUUCUUGGGGUGAAGUUACAGUAUAGACCAAAUUCAAGAAGACAGUGCCACCCUUGUUCAUUGUUCCGAUCCUAUGCCAAAUGGCAUGUAAAAACGCACAUUUGAGGAGAGGAAUUUUAAUGGUUUUCUCAAACAAUUUACAUUAAGUGACUAAGUAUUUUACGUGUCUCUUGUGUAAUAAGCAACUCUGAGUGUCUCUUCUGGAACAGAAAGAAACGCAAAGCUAUAUGGACAUUCGGAACAUUGCACUUACAUCCUACAUAAAAGGAUGAAAUACCAUUUUCCCUCACAGUUGCCACUUGCAUCCUCGUUACUGAGCCUUUUCCAGACUGGUGACUCCUCCAAGAUAUGUUGGAAAUAUAACCCAAUAGUCACUUAACUGAUUAUGAGGUGUUUUGUAGCAUUUUUUUUUUUCUGACUAACACAUUUCAUUCAAAGGCAUGAAUUUUUGUGAGAGGCAGUUCACAUCAUCAGAUGCAAUUGAGAGGCUAAGCUAAAUGGGAGGAGGGAAAGAUAGGUUGGUUAGGCAGAUGUAGGUUAUUUGUAAAAUAUGAUCUCCAAGGUCCCUUCCAACUUUAUUAUUAUUAUUAUUAUUACAUGUAUGUAGUAUGUUAAAAACCCAAUGUGUUUGUUAAGAACUUCUAAGAUUGACAGAAACUUUUUGAUGAAUUCAAAAUGGAUGGUGCUAUGAGAGUCCCACUUUUCUAAAAUAAUCUCUUUGAUGGACAUUUAUGGAGGCUCUGAAGGGACAAAAUGCUCUGAAACUGUCUAUUUCCUCUUUUGACAAACUUCUGCCUACUAAUUCUUUUGCUGACUUGUCCUACUUAGAAUCCAGAGAGAUGUUACUGGCAGAUGAUGGCACAUAAGACAUUGGAGAAGACCAUGUGAAUCUUAUAAACUCAUCAGCCAGAAGUAACUAUAAUGUUUAAGAUGUCUGAAUGAACCGGAAGACAGAAGAGCAACAAUUAAGAGGGGAAAUGUCAAGAAAAUGCCUGCUAAAGCAUGGUAACAUCAAUCAAUCCUCUCGUCACAGGGACAGAUGAUGCACAUAUUCAUUAGAAGAUGAAAAAAAAAAUAUAUAAAUAGGAUUUUGACACUGGGAAGUGGUGUGAGGGCAAAUGAGAACUGCUGUGCAGUAGCAAAACUUCUGUUUCUGAUUUUCUGUACUGGCUGCUUUCUCUGACCUCAGCAUUGAAUCAGACUUUUUUCAAGGCUGUGGGCUGCAGCUGUCUAUCUUCGGUACAGAUUUACUGGUGUCUCAGGAGCCCCCUUUUAUUCCAACAGAACUGUUUUGUUAGGAAACAAUCUCAAAAAGGCAAAUUGCAGGUAAAGGAAAUUUAUUCUUUGUAAAUUGGUCCCAUCUGAAAUUACUUGUUCAAAGGAGGCAGGGAGAAGGAGGAAGAAAGAAAUAAACUUUCCAAAUUUAGCUGCCCGUAUUUGCAUGCAAGGUAGCGAUUAGCCUGCAUGGUUGCCCUUCAGCUUAACAUGCGGAGCAGACCUUGAAGUUUCCAAAUGUCUCGAUGUACGUUUCUUUUUCCCCUCUUUAAAAUUUUCUGGGGUUACAUUAUGCUGGUCUGUGACUACAGUACUGAAUUGAUCUGAGGGUAUAUUUGUGAUGAGGGUAUUUAUGUAUAGAUAACACCCAGAUAACAAAGACACAUACAGAUCUUAGUAGUUGAUACUUUCCAGCAGACAUUUACAGAGUUAACAUAUUCCACGAUCCAUGCAAAAUUUGUGUUUUUGGGUUGACCUUGACUUUAUGCAGCAAAAGAUCACAUCGCUUUAUGAUUGAGGUUGGUUUUGUUCUGGCUGUUAUUUAAAAUGCAGUGCAUAAAAAAACUAUUCAGGAACAGAGGAAACUAUGUACAUUUUGAAAAACGGAUCAAUGAGAAAGUAGCAAUUCCUAUAGCAGCAAAGCUGAACCCAUAGGGUAAAAGGUGGAAGAUCUCAAUCUUCCACUUUGGUAGGAAAAUGGGUCCAGCCAUCUUCCUACCUUGGUGCAAUGAUCAGUAUUAUUCUUUCUUCUGCCACACUAAUAUUCGGGAGAAUCCUUGCCCUGGCUUCUUCUUCCUUAAUAGUUGCCCUGAGACUGACAGAAGAUCUCACCAUUUGGUCACUCUUACUUUCUAGUAACUGGGAGUAAUAACAGCAACAACAAUAACAGCAGAUAAACUCCACAGCAUCACCUCUUGACCCGUGUAUACCUCAGAGGCAUAUGUCGCCAGAGAAAACAGGUCCUCCCUAGUUCCUUUGUUGCAGAGUUCAAACCAAAGCACAAGCUAUCAUUUAAAAUGCAACUUUGUGAAAAACAAGAAAAGGGAAAAUGUAAACUUUCUUUUGAACUUUAAGGUAGUCACUUGCAAAACUAAAUAGGGCGGGCAGAAUAAGGCAAAAUCAUAGACCUCACAAAGUACUAAAAUACCAAGAACUGAGUUUGCUUUACACAAUACAAUAGUUUUCAGAUACUAAGGUUACUCAGCAGGCACAGUUGUCAGAAACAAGAUAUCACAGUCAAUAAAGCAGAACAGCACACAAAACAAAGAACAGAGCCUUGCCUAAUGCAUCCUUGGCAUUGAAGGAUAUCUUUCCCUGUUUGCUGUUCCUAGAUAAUCCCUGAUUCAAGAAGACUGCAACUUUAACUCAGAAACCAUGGAACAAUUUAGCUCAGCUCCUGGGUUGCCCAGAGGCUUCUGGAGAUCUGAUCCAGAUUUCCCUUCUCCUCCAUUCCCCGGAGCUGUGUUUUUCAACCUUGGCAACUUUUAAGAUGGGUGGACUUCAACUCCCAGAAUUCCUCAGGCAUAUAUCUUAAAGUUGCCAAGGUUGAAAAGCAUCACAUGGCUGGCUCAGGAAUUCUGGGAGUUGAAGUCCACGAGUCAUAAAAGAGCCAAGGUUGCCUACCCCUGUUCUAGAGAGAAAGCAGCUUCACAUCACUGGAGUACUACUGUUUUUCGAAGCCAUAUGUUUUUUCAUUCUCCAUCUCUCCCCGAGGCUCUCAUCAGUCCGCAUUCAUCCAGCCUACUUCAACCAUUUUCUGCUUUUCUUUUUCCAGCUAGGUCUUUCAGUGAUCUCAGCCUCCCCUGCCUCAAGAUCAAGACUUUUGGACCAGAAAUAGGAGACUGAGGAAAUCUCUUCCAGAGCAUGCCCAAGCAAGCCUCUUGUCUUUUCCCUCUCCUUUGUGAGGAAAGGAUUUCAAAAUGACUAAACUUUUAUUCCCUGCAGCCAAAAGUGAUGGGCUCUGUGUGUAUGGGCUAUGGGGCAUUUUUUGACUUGGGAAGCAAAGACGUUGCUUUCCUGUCUGAAUAAGAUUCAAAUGAUCAGACAUGACUGAGUGAGUGUGGAGGGCUGGAUUUGCCUGCCUUUCCUACCUGAACCAAAUGAUUGACUGAAUGGCUCACCUAUUCACUACACUAACUUAUAUUGUUGCUUUACAUCUUUUUCCAGCCUGUCAGCUGAAGACAUUUUGACACUCCAGGCAAAUAACAAGUUGAGCCCUUCCCUCCUUUCGGUGUAAAGAAGGCAGCUAGUCUGAUUUUGAACUGUGGGAACUGCACUGACAGCUACAGUUGCUUAGGGCAGAACUGUCACUUAUGUCAACAGCCAACAAGUGCUAAAUAUCUGUUAAACUGUGAGAGAAGUGGGAAAAAGAAAUGCUGUACGGGCUAUAUAGAAAUGCUAUAGCAUGGGUCUCCUCCGCUCCAUGUUGACAGAAGGCACUCAACUCUAUAAAGUGGCUUCAUCAUAGCAUACAGUAAACGCUCUUGUCUAUCCAUAGCAUGUUAAGUACUGGGGCAGCUUCCACUGAGCCUGAGCUUUAUUUCUGUAAAAUAAAUCCUAGAAAUUGAAAUGGAACUGUGAAUGCCAUUGGCUGAGGGAUAGAAGAAGCAGGUGACUCCAAAGCAGAAGGAGGAGGAAGAGAGGCCCCAAAAUCAGAAGACUCAAUGUGAGAAAAUGUAUGUUGGAUGGAACUGGAGGAAGAUGGAGGAGAGAGGAUCUGUGUUGAUCUCAGAAGCAGAAACCGGAUGAUGCUCACCUGUAGAUUUUAAAUAGCCGACUAUGUUUCGGCUAUGGGUCUCAUUUCUGGAUACUUGUCAGGCUGAGGGUUAAGAAUUAGCCAACCAGCAUCUUUGGUACACAUUUGUUCUAAAUUGCACACACAGCCACACUGUAAAUGUGAUACUCCUUAGAAGCCUAUUUGUAGUAGACCUCACCAGUAAAAUUUAGCCAUGCAUGUACAAGA